rnacentral:rRNA from 1 species
UACAGAGGGUGCAAGCGUUGUUCGGAAUUAUUGGGCGUAAAGAGCGCGUAGGCGGUCCGAUAAGUCGGCUGUGAAAGUCAAGGGCUCAACCCUUGAAAGCCGGCCGAUACUGUCGGACUAGAGUCCGGAAGAGGCGAGUGGAAUUCCCGGUGUAGCGGUGAAAUGCGUAGAUAUUUGGAGGAACACCGGUGGCGAAGGCGGCAUCCUGGACCGGUAUUGACGCUGAGGCGCGAAAGCCAGGGGAGCAAACGGG